CCUACGGGGUGCAGCAGUGAGGAAUAUUGGUCAAUGGACGAGAGUCUGAACCAGCCAAGUAGCGUGAAGGAUGACUGCCCUAUGGGUUGUAAACUUCUUUUAUAUGGGAAUAAAAUGGUCCACGUGUGGGCUUUUGUAUGUACCAUAUGAAUAAGGAUCGGCUAACUCCGUGCCAGCAGCCGCGGUAAUACGGAGGAUCCGAGCGUUAUCCGGAUUUAUUGGGUUUAAAGGGAGCGUAGGUGGAUUGUUAAGUCAGUUGUGAAAGUUUGCGGCUCAACCGUAAAAUUGCAGUUGAAACUGGCAGUCUUGAGUACAGUAGAGGUGGGCGGAAUUCGUGGUGUAGCGGUGAAAUGCUUAGAUAUCACGAAGAACUCCGAUUGCGAAGGCAGCUCACUGGACUGCAACUGACACUGAGGCUCGAAAGUGUGGGUAUCAAACAGGAUUAGAUACCCUUGUAGUC
rnacentral:rRNA from 1 species